rnacentral:lncRNA from 1 species
CGGAUAGUGGAGCCUGAUCCAUCCUCUGGUGCAAGUCUUAUAUGUACACUACGAUUGGUAGUCGCGGGUCCCACUUGCCAGGGAUGGAACUCCACCGAACAAAUGAUAGAGCAUAUAUGCUGCAGAUAGUUAUAAUUCUCUUUUCCUGUCUCAUUGGAAUAGAGAGCAAAUUCACAAAAAUCUCUACCAGUGGCAAUCCUAAUCUCUGGUAUAAAUAGAUAAUCAUUAGGCAUCCAAAUAUAUGAGAACAUUGCAUCCAAAGGAGAUGAGAGAGUCAACGGCUGUGCUGUGCAGAAGAGAGGGCAUGUGAGAGAGAAUUUUUUCUCCAUCUCUUGUACUCCUAUAAACUCCCUAAUUACAUAGUGAAAAUACUCUAUGCGGCUG